rnacentral:rRNA from 1 species
UACGAAGGGGGCUAGCGUUGCUCGGAAUCACUGGGCGUAAAGCGCACGUAGGCGGCUUUCUAAGCCAGGGGUGAAAUCCUGGAGCUCAACUCCAGAACUGCCUUUGAUACUGGAGAGCUUGAGUCCGGGAGAGGUGAGUGGAACUCCGAGUGUAGAGGUGAAAUUCGUAGAUAUUCGGAAGAACACCAGUGGCGAAGGCGGCUCACUGGCCCGGUACUGACGCUGAGGUGCGAAAGCGUGGGGAGCAAACAGG